GCUGCAGUUCUGGGAUGGCUCAGUCGGUAGAGCACAAGAGCGCUCUUACUCUCAGGGUUGUGGGUUUGAGUCCCACACUGGGCA